rnacentral:piRNA from 1 species
UGCAGGGUUGAAGUAAGAGAAUGAGGUC